AGAGCGAACGCUGGCGGCAGGCCUAACACAUGCAAGUCGAACGGACUCUUCGGAGUUAGUGGCGGACGGGUGAGUAACACGUGGGAACGUGCCUUUAGGUUCGGAAUAGCUCCUGGAAACGGGUGGUAAUGCCGAAUGUGCCCUUCGGGGGAAAGAUUUAUCGCCUUUAGAGCGGCCCGCGUCUGAUUAGCUAGUUGGUGAGGUAAAGGCUCACAAGGCUACGAUCAGUAGCUGGUCUGAGAGGAUGACCAGCCACAUGGGACUGAGACACGGCCCAAACUCCUACGGGAGGCAGCAGUGGGGAAGUCUUGCGCAAUGGGCGAAAAGCCUGACGCAGCCAUGCCGCGUGAAUGAUGAAGGUCUCAGGAUUAGUAAAAAUUUACUUUCAGUAGGGAACGGAUAAAUAGACGGUAACCUAACCAGAAAGAAAGACCCCGGCCGUAACUUCGUUGCCACGCAG
rnacentral:rRNA from 1 species